GAUCUCAAAAUUCUAUUCCGAUCGGUGAACAUGGCGAAUGCGCGCUGUGCUGGAAAACCGUUCAGAAAAAGUGUGACCUAACUUCGCGGACCAAAGUUUUUGUGGAGAUUUAAACAGAAACUCAAGCUGAAAAAGUGAAAAAUUUAUAUCAGAUUGAUGGCAAAAUGCUAUAGAAUCGAACCCUGAGCGCUGAGAAGUUUCUGCUAUCCAGAACGACAUGAUGGACUUGAUAAUGUGCAAUUUCGUAUUGUAGCCGCCGGAAUCUUCCGCUAGCUCUGUCUGCUUGGGCCACCGCGCUGGUAGCUGUGGGCGAAUCCCAUUUCAGGAAUAAUGGAGUUCAUAAGGAACAUGAGAGUGAAGAUGAAGGGAGCGAAAGGGGGGAAGAAGUGGAGCACCGCUCUGGAAGACAAGACAUUCAGAUGUGGACUGUCUAUCCAGAAACCUAAGAUGAUGGCUCUGGAUCAAACCCUGAGACAGUACAAGGAGGAAUCAGAACAUAGCGGCUUAUUUCCAUUUCCCUAUUUAUGAAGAAGCCUUCAAAUGCUGCAGUCACAUUUCCCCUGCGGUGCCUGCACAGGGAGUUGUAAAUGGUUGUUUCAUGUAUUUCUAUAUAAAUGAUGUAUAUGUAAACUGGUAUGAGAAAUAUUUAAAAGACCAUUUUCGACUCACUGUACGGCCACAGGAGGGGAAAUGUGACUGCCAUAAGGAGUAUCCAGACUUCAUCACACCAUCACUGAACCAAUCGAUUUGGAGACUAUCGAAAGCAACAUCAAGAAUGACAAGGAACAUCCGGAAUACUAUCGGGUGAUCAAGUGCUCUAUGGACAGGCAACAUAUCCAACAGAAGAUCUGGAGGCUGUGAGCAACUAGAAGAUAUGGUCUAUGAUUUCAUUCUUAUGUGUGACAAUGCAUACAAGUUCAGUUAACCAGGCUCACUUAUUUACAAGAACUGGGCAGUACCUACAAGCUCAACAAAGAUCAUCGAUCGUGAUGAACCAUUAUCCACAGUGAGAGUGGAAGCAGUGUUUGCUGGAUCACCACAAGAUAUUCUCAUGAUACAUUUGGUUCAUCAGUAAACAUACCAGCAUUUGACAAGGAAAGUGGGGAUGUAUUACAAGAAGGAGCUGGUGAUGGAUUUCUGGUGUACUAUGAACAGAUCUGUUGGAAUGGAGUAUGGUAUAAACUAGGUGAUGCUGUCUACAUCAAGACUAUCAAAGGAAGACCUCAUAUCUGCAGGAUAGAUACAAGAUAUGGAUGAUUGCAAGUGGUGAGACCUUCUUCUUUGGAACUGUGUUCAUUCGUCCAUCUGAGACUGUUCAUCCUCCUACCAAGAUGUUUUAUCAGAGUGAAGUGUUCCUAAGCUGUGUGGGGGAAUCUUCUGGCAUGGAUCAUACCUUUGAAAACGUUCUUUUAUGCUCUCUAAAGACUACAUCUCCAUCACACCACCCAGUAACAAUGUGGAUCCAACCCUUAUCUACCGUUAACCAUCUUCUAGGCAUAAGAGCUAGUCUACCAGAGACAGGGACAUGACACCAAUCUUGAAAUCAUCAUAGCUAUGGAAUGUCUGGUAACAUCUAUUAGUAUUUGUGUGAGGUAUGGGUUGCCCAUCGGAGUAGCAUUUGAGACAUGGGCACAAUGCCUGCUAGAAGACUCCUCGGUUUGGUGGUACUCUUAUCGUGAUAUUUUACAAAUCUUGAUGAAUAGCUGACCUGAGGAGCGUUUCAUGAAAGGACUUGUCAGACGUUUUAUCCGACAAGUCCCAUUUUAUCCGACAGUUUCUAUAGUAACAGUGCCUCUCAGCCAAUCAGAAUCGACGAAAGAUGUCAGAUCUGACAACUUGUCGGACAAAAAUGUUGAUGAAACGCUCCCCAGUUGGCUUAUAAACCAUUCCUGAAUAACUUAAAGGAUUGCAAUUAUGGUUGAAUUACCAGCUAAAUAAUUGAUCGGACAAAGUUAGAAUACCCUUUUUUUUGUUUAGUUUAAGGUCUCUUGUCGCACAAAUGUUUUGCAAUCAAUUACUAAUUGCAAUGGCCAAUAGUUGUUUUGUAUUUGCAAUCCAUUUCAAAGUUUUGUGUUACAGAACCCAGGUGACUAGAGGAGCAAACGCCAUUUUUGAGAAAUCAAAUUCAGGUUUUGUAUUUAAUAUCAGAGAUUUCUGUCAUGUAAUUCAAAUUCAAUGAAGGAAAUGUCAGUGUAAACUAAAUGUCAAGUUUUCCAAAGCAUUUCAAUCUAAGGAGCAGGUCCAAGCUAUCAUUUGUUUUCUGAUUUUUAUGCCUAAGAAGAUGGGGUUGGUUGGGGCUGAUUCCGCCCCCCUUAUUUUUCGGCUGUUGUCCAUGGCAUGCACCUUAUCCCUUGCAUAAUCUCCAAAACAUUCAAGUCAUAUUCUCUCAAAAACUUAUGCGUAAAAUUAAAAGAAUAAUGCUACUUUAUGCGUAAAAUCACAAUUUUGCUUGAAUUAAUUAUUAUUCACGCUUCUUGCAGGAUUUUCAUCAAAUGUACUUCCAAAAAAAAUGUUGCUAUCACAAUUUCAUUCCUUUGAAUUUUAAUGUUUUUCAAUGGAAAUAUGUUCAUAAAUAAAAUGAAAUUACUUGUGUAUAUUCAAGAAAAGUAGAUUGAUACAUUCAUGACUUUUGUCUAAAAAUGCUAUCUAUAUUACAAUUGUACACAAAUUCAUGUUUUUGAGAAAUUUUGUGUCAAGCAUGCAUGUUGCAUAAAAUGUUGCAUAAUUUCGGAACGGCGCACUCGGGAUAGGGGGUUCAAAUUUGGUCUCAAAGUUACGUGAGGCUUGAAUGAACAAGUAAUAGAAAAAUGCAGUGCUGGCUUUUCAUGUUCCAGAUUUAUCACAUAAGAUGCUGAGGGGAAGGCGUGUCCCCCCCCCCCAUCUUAUUAGGCUUAAGGUAUCUUUUUUAUACUUAGUAUUGUAAGUCUAAGGCUUCAAUAGAAAUAAGAUGGUGCAGUAAUUAGGCCAUGUAAAAUAUUUGUAGAAUUAACUUUGUAACUUUAUCGUAAUGAAGUUUGUAUUUGUCCUUAUAUUGUGCUGACUAUUCUGCAAAAGUGGAUCCAAAGGUUUUCCAGAGUUUUUCCAUAAUGAGUUUUACCUCUGGUUUUUUACCCUGGACCUACUUGUCGUAGAAUUGGUUUGCACCCCCCCCCCCCCAAUUUUUUUUUUUUUUUUAAAUAAUGUUAUUGAUAAAUAAUCCCAUGUAAUAGUUACAUAAAAUAUAAACAUUAUCCAAGCAUGAAAUAUUAUCUUCAACAAUACUGUUUUAAAAAAUACACAAAUUUCUACUUUUACAACGCUUCUCUGUUUCUAAACGAUUACAAAUCAAUAUUUUGGAUAAACAAACUAUACCAAACUCAUGAAAUCUGCAAGUCCGACUAUCUGUUCGAAUAAAAGUUGAAUAAAAAGCAUAUCUUGCAUACAUAAUUCAAAAUUCUGUAUUUUUUUUAUAACUCAUAUCCUUUUAUGAAAGUAGCAACAUUUUGUGCAUGAUACCUAUAUAAUACUUAUUUUUCCAUGAAUUUUAUUAAUAUAUUCAUACUAAUUUUGUCAAUUAUUACACCACUUGAGACAGUUUGAGGUGAAUAUUUUCAAUUUCAUUUAUCUAUAUCCCAAUCGCUAGAUUGGAGAAAACUGAUCAUUCGUUUGAUGUUAUUUACUUGUACCUUUAACCUAUCUAUAUAGGCCUUUCAGCAACAAACAAAGUUCAUUAUUAGGUAAUUCAAUCAAUUUGUGUUCAUUAUGUCUCAAAAUAGUAUAAUCUGCAAAUUGCAAUCGAAGGGCAAAUUUCCAACGUCCCUGAGGCCGUAGUUCCUAAACUUGUAAGAGAUCUGCUGCCAACUUAGUUGGUGUACAUGUAUUGAGAGUACAAUGAUUGAUAAGAUUUAGGGGCAUAGGUCAUGCUGUAUCUGAAAUAUCUUGUUCUUGUAAUUUAUAAUCAAGGAACUGUUGAGGUUUCAACGUCAAUCUUGAUUCAUGCAUGUAUUUGGGUUAUGAGGACAAAGUACAAUUUAAUAUAGAUCAUUAUGUACAUUGAAAUAUCUAGUUCUCUAACUGAAGAACUGUUGGGAGAGAUCAUCUUCAAUCUUGGUUCAUGUAUGCAUAUUUGGUAGAGGAUGAUCUGGUUAGAUUUUAGAGUCAUGAGGUCAAAUGUCAAAGGUCGCAGAGAUAUUUAUUUUAAAAAUUUAGAAGUUGGAUGUGUAGUCUAUAUUUUAGAUCCGGCAAGAGCAGAGGCAUACAUUUUAACUUUGUCAAAGUUAUAUAUUUUGCCAGUCAUGUAGGGGUUUGAAAAACCCACUGUAUAUAGAAACUGAAAGGUGUUUUCAUAUUAUCAGAUCAUUUUUAUUCCAUGAAAAGUUUAAGAUUCUAGCAAAACAACUCUUUGGAGUGUUUCACAAAUGGUUCAACCUCGACAUGCUUGAGUGUUAUGGUUAUGAUAUUUAAUGCGCAGUCUCAUUGACUCAUACACGGUAGAGCGCAUCCUCUGAGCAUGAUCCAACCAAUACGAUGAUCCAUUCUUUUCCUCAUGUAACUGGAUAUUCUAGCCUGAAUUUUAGUCACACUUUGAUUCUUUGUGAAACACCCCUCUGAUUUGUCUCUUAAAUUACAUGUACAUGAUAGCUUGGACCUGCCCUGUAGUGUAUAAUUGGUUCCAUGACAUAUGCUCCAACGACCAUUGCUCCAAUGGGAAAUCUGCACAUUAAGCCAAACAUAAAACCAAAUCUCCAAAACUAAAUUAACCCUAAUCCUUUACAUUAUUCUGAACCAAAAACUGUAUUACAAUUUUAACUCUAACCCCAUGCCGUCUGAGAUAUUAAGACAGAGCAAAUGUCGCAGGAGCAUAUGUCUUGUCACUGUAUAAUUGCCUGUACUUAUAUACUUGCUUUGUAUUUAAUGAUUUUUUUUUCUUUCUUAAAAAUAAAUGUAAGACCGGCAGCCGAGAAGAUUCAUUCAAGUUGAAGGACCAUAGCAGCUGACCUCACACUGAUUGAUGGGGUAGGCCCUGAACCUCACAAACAUGGCUUCCUGUCUGGUUUGAGCUGGGAUCUUCCUGCCAGAAUCACACAAUUAGUGACGUCACUACCAAGAGUUUUAUUUUUCAGUGUGCAGAGUAGGGCACCGGACACUGUUGAGCCUGGUAUACAACUUCAAUAAUGUAAGUGCUUUAUUGUCGAUUUUGAUGAUAUUUUGUGUAGCCUAGAGUAUGCGAGACAAUGCAGUUGGUUUUCCAGCAAUUGUUUUUCUGAGGGUAAUAAUUAUUGUGGAAAUAUUUGGCAACCAUUUCCUCCACAUCAGAGUAUUUAUCCAUUUUUUUACCCAAUUUGCACUCUUUAGAUUCAUGACAUUUUUCUUAAACCUUUGGAAUGUAAUUCUUUUCAUGAAAAUCUUUCAAAACAAUACCAUUCCUUUAGGCAAUUUUGAUAAAUUUGCAGGGACAAAAUCCCCAUCUUUCUUAUCUCUCUCUUUUAAAUGAGAAAUAAUCUUCUCUUAACUACUUCUGUUCCUUUUCCCCAUACCUAAAUUCAUAUCCUUUUGUUUGCUAUGUGUCUCAAUCUCUUGAUCUUUAUUGUAGUAUCUUUGUUCUCCCUCGCAACCAUUCCCUGUCUCAAUACUCCACCCUCCUCCCCUCAUGUUUUUAUAUUCCUCUCUCCUCUCACCGCAAUACUGGCAUUACCUGUCGAUCCACUGACCUGCUGUCCAUCUUUACCUCCCUGUACUGUCUGCUAUAGCUGUCACUCUAAAUUCAUCUUUGUUUCACACUGUUGCAACACGGUAUUCAACAUGACUGAUAAUUAUAAUGUGCUAGGAAGACGUAAACAAAGUAUUUUACAAGGCAGUUUAUAAGUAUACAUUAUCUCAUUAUGUUUAGAUUAAUUGCAGAGCCAUUUGAGAAAGUAUUAUCAGUAUUUUGCAAUAUAGCUAUUUACAUUUUUGGUAUAAGUUUAUUUUUGGGACCAACUAAUUUGAAUGAAUGAUCAUCUUGGUCCUGUCCCCAUUCCCCCUAAACCUCAUGGUUGUGUGAGCGUGUAUCCAUCAUGAAAUCACUCAAUGUGUAGAGAUAAUGGACUGCGUCAAAUGGCAGGUUUUGUGAUGGAAGGUGGAUUCUCAAUAUCAGCCUGUCUGCCAAAAAAUCUGCUAUUCACCAAACUUCAAAUAUAAAUCUUUAACAAAAUUUUAUGAGGAUUGUGUGCUUUAAUGAUUUUUCCACAAUGUUUAACAAUAAAAAACGUAAAAAAAAAAGGCCCCAUCAAUCAUAGCAAUGCAUGUUAGUCUUGAGUCUAGUUUCAGAAGUGCAAUGUCAAAUUUAGAUUACUGUCUUGCCAGCUUUUGGCCAUUGUGUUUCUAGUUGAUCCUUGAAUUCAUCGAUGUUUGUAAUUGGACUUUUUAUGUUAUAUUUCAUCAAUGGAAUGGUUUCGCCAAGAAGGCUUUGGGACUUGAUGGCAUUGAUCAUGAUUGUUAAGAGUGCUGCUGAAUUCCAGAAAUUAGUUUCAAUUGCAUGUGACAUCUUUGUAUUUGUUAUAUGGAAAUCUGUUAAUGUGAUAAUCCUCAACAGGGGGCGGAUCCAGGGUUUUCCAAAAAGGGGGGGGCACAUUUUCCCCAGGAAAAUUUGACAAGCAAAAAAAAUAUGAAUAAAUAAAAAUCAGAAAAUCAAAAAAAGGUUUUCACCCCAAAAUUAAGGACAUUUCGUC